GUAUAUAAGCUUCAGCAGCGGGGCCUCGCGCUCUUUCCUGACCGCUUCUGCAGGUGGACACGCGCUCUGCGGACACAUGCACGUGAAGUUACAGGGCGGGAAAAGAAGGCCGCAGUGCGUGCUAAAGCUGAGGCUGUUCAGCUAGCUUCAGUGUGUUAGCGUGGUGCUGACGGGCCUCGAGCUAACAGCCACGUGGGAAGACUGAAAGAUGGAGAGACCACGUGGGCUGCAGUGUGGCCGCUCUCUGCAUGGCUCUAACAUAACGCUGUGCUGGCUCCGUGUGGCCUGACGUCCUGUGAGGUCAGAAUGGGUUAAUUCCAGACGAUGGCGAGUCGAGACUGAGCUAGGAAAGACUGACAAGGAGCUGUCGAGGAUGAAAGUCUGCCCACUCAAGUGUGAAUGACGGGAAACCAUGCCGCUCUGCCUGUGCACCCACCUGAACCAGCCGACUGACCAAGGUUCACUUCUCGCAGGGGUGGAGCUGGUUCUUACGGACUGCAGCUGCUGAAAUGUUUGUGCUGAUCGCCCUCCUGCAGUCUGACAGAACUGGAUAUGCCAGUGUAUACCUGCAAAGCUUGUGGUGAAGUGUGACUCAUAAGGUGGACUCAUGGACACAGGUCUGAAGAUGGACAUCAACAUGUUGAGAUGAGAGAUUUUUGAAGCUGAAAUGUUGGUUGUAAUAAGCCUGAUUUGAAACGAUGCUGUAGCUUCUUGAACGUCCACUAAUGCACAAACCUACAGUGACCUCAUGUACACACAGCAUGUAAACUCUAAACAACUUGGGUGAUUAAAUCUCGUAACUGUUAGACUGAUAAAUGACUGUCUUGGUGCACAACAAAGGUGGAAUACCAAGUAUAGAAGAUAUAAAGAUUUAUACAAAUGUGUGUUACAAGAUCUCUACAGUUCUGUGUAGUAAGUAGUGUGAAUAUCUUCAAAUGUUCAGGAUAUUUUGAUGCACUCAAAGUGAUAAAGGUGUGUAGUGUAACACAUGGCGCCAGUAGACUGUUAUUGUAACCUGGUGAGGGUCAGUGUACACUUAAAAAUAAAGGUCUGAGUUAUAACCUAAA